rnacentral:tRNA from 1 species
GCCUUCGGGGUGUAAUGGUAGCACACUUGGCGCGUAUUACAAAGGUCAAGGUUCGAAUCCCGGCGAGGGCA